rnacentral:rRNA from 1 species
UACGUAGGGCGCAAGCGUUGUCCGGAAUUAUUGGGCGUAAAGAGCUCGUAGGCGGCUUGUCACGUCGGAUGUGAAAGCCCGGGGCUUAACUCCGGGUCUGCAUUCGAUACGGGCUGGCUAGAGUGUGGUAGGGGAGAUCGGAAUUCCUGGUGUAGCGGUGAAAUGCGCAGAUAUCAGGAGGAACACCGGUGGCGAAGGCGGAUCUCUGGGCCAUUACUGACGCUGAGGCGCGAAAGCUAGGGUAGCAAACGGG